rnacentral:rRNA from 1 species
UACGUAGGGACCAAGCGUUGUCCGGAAUCAUUGGGCGUAAAGAGCGUGUAGGCGGCCAGGUAGGUCGGUUGUGAAAACUGGAGGCUCAACCUUCAGAGGUCGACCGAAACCAUCUGGCUAGAGUCCGGGAGAGGAGAGUGGAAUUCCUGGUGUAGCGGUGAAAUGCGCAGAUAUCAGGAAGAACACCCGUGGCGAAGGCGACUACCUGGCCUGUUCUUGACGCUGAGGCGCGAAAGCUGGGGGAGCAAACGGG